rnacentral:rRNA from 1 species
AGCAGCCGCGGUAAUUCCAGCUCCAAUAGCGUAUAUUAAAGUUGUUGCAGUUAAAAAGCUCGUAGUUGAAUUUCAGGCCUGGCUGGACGGUCCGCCCUUCGGGUGAGUACUGUCUGUGGUCGGGUCCUACCUUCUGGCGAAGCGUCAUGGCCUUAACCGGCCGUGGCGGGGAACCAGGACUUUUACUGUGAAAAAUUAGAGUGUUCAAAGCAGGCAAUCGCUUGGAUACAUUAGCAUGGAAUAAUGGAAUAGGACAAUGGUUCUAUUUGUUGGUUUCUAGGACCGUUGUAAUGAUUAAUAGGGAUAGUUGGGGGCAUUAGUAUUCAAUUGUCAGAGGUGAAAUUCUUGGAUUUAUUGAAGACUAACUACUGCGAAAGCAUUUGCCAAGGAUGUUUUCAUUAAUCAAGAACGAAAGUUAGGGGAUCGAAGACGAUCAGAUACCGUCGUAGUCUUAACCAUAAACUAUGCCGACUAGGGAUCGGACGAUGUUAAUUUUUAAUGACUCGCU